rnacentral:rRNA from 1 species
GUCGAGAAUCAUUCGCAAUGGGCGAAAGCCUGACGAUGCGACGCCGUGUGGACGAUGAAGGCUUUCGAGUUGUAAAGUCCUUUCGCCAGGGAACAAGAGAAGGUAGCAAAUAGCUACCUAAUUUGAGGGUACCUGGUAAAGAAGCACCGGCUAACUCCGUGCCAGCAGCUGCGGUAAUACGGAGGGUGCAAGCAUUAAUCGGAUUUACUGGGUGUAAAGGGCGCGUAGGCGGGUAAGUAAGUCAGAUGUGAAAUUCCGAAGCUUAACUUCGGAGCUGCAUUUGAAACUGCUUAUCUUGAGGGUGGACGGAGAAAACGGAAUUCCACGUGUAGCGGUGAAAUGCGUAGAUAUGUGGAAGAACACCGGUGGCGAAGGCGGUUUUCUAGUUCAUUCCUGACGCUGAGGCGCGAGAGCAAGGGGAGCAAACAGG